ACGUAUCAAAAGCCAUGUCAGGAAAAGACACUUAAUCCAGAUCUUUUUGUGGACAAGUUCUAUCAAAUGUGGAAUAAUCAGAUAAUUGUGAUUUAAUUUAGACUCUUAGAAAACAAAGCUGGGCGCGGUGGCUGACGCCUGUAAUCCCAACAUCUUGGGAGGCUAAGGCGGGAGGAUCCCUUGAGCCCAGGAGUUCAAGACCAGCCUGGACAAUAGUGAGUCCCCCAUCAGGUGAAUCACGAGGUCAGAAGAUCCAGACCAUCCUGGCUAACACGGUGAAACCCUGUCUCAACUAAAAUACAAAAACAAAAAUUAGCCGGGUGUGGUGGCGGGCACCUGUAGUCCCAGCUACUCGGGAGGCUGAGGCAGGAGAAUGAUGUGAACCUGGGAGGUGGAACUUGCAGUAAGCCGAGAUCGCACCAUUGUACUCCAGCCUGGGCGAGAGCCAGACUCCGUCUCAAAAAAAAAAAAAAAAAAAUUAGCCAGGCGUGGUGGUGGGCACCUGUAAUCCCAGCACUUUGGGAGGCCGAGGCGGGUGGAUCACCUGAGGUUAGGAGUUCAAGACCAGCCUGGCCAACAUGGUGAAACCCUGUCUCUACUAAAAUACAAAAAUUAGCCGGGCGUGGUGGUGGACACUUGUAAUCCCAGCUACUCGGAAGGCUGAGGCAGGAGAAUUGCCCGAACCUGGGAGGCAGAGGUUGUAGUGAGCCGAGAUNNNNNNNNNNNNNNNNNNNNNNNNNNNNNNNNGACACAGCAAGACUCCAUCUCAAAAAAAAAAAGAGAAACGUUGCAAGGAAAGCACUUGGUGCAG
rnacentral:lncRNA from 1 species